AUGUAUAUGAUGAGUUACUCGGAUUCCCCUUCAAGACAUCAUAGACGGAUGAUGCAGACCCGAGUUUCUGAUGCA
rfam:Cajanus cajan chromosome 3, whole genome shotgun sequence.